UGGGGAAUUUUGGACAAUGGGCGAAAGCCUGAUCCAGCAAUGCCGCGUGUGUGAAGAAGGCCUUCGGGUUGUAAAGCACUUUUGUCCGGAAAGAAAUCCUUGGCUCUAAUACAGUCGGGGGGAUGACGGUACCGGAAGAAUAAGCACCGGCUAACUACGUGCCAGCAGCCGCGGUAAUACGUAGGGUGCAAGCGUUAAUCGGAAUUACUGGGCGUAAAGCGUGCGCAGGCGGUUUGCUAAGACCGAUGUGAAAUCCCCGGGCUCAACCUGGGAACUGCAUUGGUGACUGGCAGGCUAGAGUAUGGCAGAGGGGGGUAGAAUUCCACGUGUAGCAGUGAAAUGCGUAGAGAUGUGGAGGAAUACCGAUGGCGAAGGCAGCCCCCUGGGCCAAUACUGACGCUCAUGCACGAAAGCGUGGGGAGCAAACAGGAUUAGAUACCCUGGUAGUCCAGCGCCCUAAACGAUGUCAACUAGUUGUUGGGGAUUCAUUCCUUAGUAACGUAGCUAACGCGUGAAGUUGACCGCCUGGGGAGUACGGUCGCAAGAUUAAAACUCAAAUGAAUUGACGGGGUCAUGCUGUUUCCU
rnacentral:rRNA from 1 species